UUUAAGUAUCGCGUGAUCCUUAUCCGUUGCCGGGGCUGCGAGCGAGCGCGCCUAAGAUCUGAUCCUCCCAAGACUUGACCGCGAAACGACAAGAAUU
rnacentral:sRNA from 1 species